rnacentral:rRNA from 1 species
AUUGAACGCUGGCGGAAUGCUUUACACAUGCAAGUCGAACGGCAGCACGGGGGCAACCCUGGUGGCGAGUGGCGAACGGGUGAGUAAUACAUCGGAACGUGCCCGGUCGUGGGGGAUAACGUAGCGAAAGUUACGCUAAUACCGCAUACGAUCUGAGGAUGAAGGCGGGGGACCUUCGGGCCUCGCGCGAUCGGAGCGGCCGAUGUCAGAUUAGGUAGUUGGUGGGGUAAAGGCCUACCAAGCCGACGAUCUGUAGCUGGUCUGAGAGGACGACCAGCCACACUGGGACUGAGACACGGCCCAGACUCCUACGGGAGGCAGCAGUGGGGAAUUUUGGACAAUGGGCGCAAGCCUGAUCCAGCCAUUCCGCGUGCAGGACGAAGGCCUUCGGGUUGUAAACUGCUUUUGUAUGGAACGAAAAGGCUCUGGCUAAUACCUGGGGCUCAUGACGGUACCGUAAGAAUAAGCACCGGCUAACUACGUG